rnacentral:rRNA from 1 species
GAUGAACGCUAGCUACAGGCUUAACACAUGCAAGUCGAGGGGCAGCAUUUUAGUUUGCUUGCAAACUGAAGAUGGCGACCGGCGCACGGGUGAGUAACACGUAUCCAACCUGCCGAUAACUCCGGAAUAGCCUUUCGAAAGAAAGAUUAAUACCGGAUAGCAUACGAAUAUCGCAUGAUAUUUUUAUUAAAGAAUUUCGGUUAUCGAUGGGGAUGCGUUCCAUUAGUUUGUUGGCGGGGUAACGGCCCACCAAGACUACGAUGGAUAGGGGUUCUGAGAGGAAGGUCCCCCACAUUGGAACUGAGACACGGUCCAAACUCCUACGGGAGGCAGCAGUGAGGAAUAUUGGUCAAUGGGCGCGAGCCUGAACCAGCCAAGUAGCGUGAAGGAUGAAGGCUCUAUGGGUCGUAAACUUCUUUUAUAUGGGAAUACAGUUUUCCACGUGUGGAAUUUUGUAU